UGAGCCCUACGGGGGGCAGCAGUGGGGAAUAUUGCACAAUGGGGGGAACCCUGAUGCAGCGACGCCGCGUGAGUGAAGAAGUAUUUCGGUAUGUAAAGCUCUAUCAGCAGGAACGAAAAUGACGGUACCUGACUAACAAGCCCCGGCUAACUACGUGCCAGCAGCCGCGGUAAUACGUCGGGGGCAAGCGUUAUCCGGAUUUACUGGGUGUAAAGGGUGAGUAGACGGCA
rnacentral:rRNA from 1 species